rnacentral:rRNA from 1 species
GAUGAACGCUGGCGGCGUGCCUAAUACAUGCAAGUCGAGCGAACAGACGAGGAGCUUGCUCCUUUGACGUUAGCGGCGGACGGGUGAGUAACACGUGGGUAACCUACCUAUAAGACUGGGAUAACUUCGGGAAACCGGAGCUAAUACCGGAUAAUAUUUCGAACCGCAUGGUUCGAUAGUGAAAGAUGGCUUUGCUAUCACUUAUAGAUGGACCUGCGCCGUAUUAGCUAGUUGGUAAGGUAACGGCUUACCAAGGCAACGAUACGUAGCCGACCUGAGAGGGUGAUCGGCCACACUGGAGCUGAGACACGGUCCAGACUCCUACGGGAGGCAGCAGUAUGGUAUCUUACGCAAUGGGCGAGAGCCUGACGGAACGACGCCGCGUGAGUGAUGGAGGUCUUCGGAUCGUAAAGCUCUGUUAUUAGGGAAGAACAAACGUGUAAGUAACUGUGCACGUCUUGACGGUACCUAAUCAGAAAGCCACGGCUAACUACGUG